rnacentral:rRNA from 1 species
GUAGAUGUGUGCGCAGCAGCGACGUUAAUAGGAAGUGGGGAAGGGUUACUGGGAAGUAUUGGGCGUAAAGCUGGCGUAGGUGGUUGGUUAAGUCUGAGUGGAAAGCCCUGGGCGCAACCGGGGAAUUGCAUUGGAUAUGGGGAGGCUAGAGUGCGGUAGAGGGUAGUGGAAUUCCCGGUGUAGCAGUGAAAUGCGUAGAGAUCGGGAGGAACAUCCGUGGCGAAGGCGACUACCUGGACCAGCACUGACACUGAGGCACGAAAGCGUGGGGAGCAAACAGGAUUAGAUACCCGGGUAGUC